CCCAGCAGUUAUUCUUCAUCCGGGAAGCAUUAGCAGCGACAUUCUUCAGUAGCGAAUCAUCAGUUGGGGCAUCCGGAUUUGGAGGAUGUUGGUUCGAGAUGAGCGUCUCGAUGUGGGAAUGGUAUUGGCA